rnacentral:lncRNA from 1 species
AUGCCAGGAGAACGUGUGUGUCGUGCGAGUGCAGGUUUCCAAAUAAUCAAAACUUUUACCUCAAGCCUGCCCUGGAGGCCUGCACUUUGCCCACGACGCACCCGGAAUCGAGUUAUCCUUUUUCAUGUACAUAGAAAUACUUUAUUUAUUAACUCCAGUGGUCACUUAAAAAAAAAUGUAUCCUGCGUUUUGAAGAGCAGCAGACAAAAUGUGCUAUGGACCUUUGAUAGUUUCCUGUUCUGGUGCUUAUUCCUUGUACGUGGAUUCAGUUUUGGGGGAAUGGGAUUGUUUGGGAUUCUUUGGGUUUCUUUUUGUAUAGACUUUGGACUUACAGGUAUUGGUAACUUCCAGAUAAAGCAUGUUUUAUUUGUAUAUUCCUAGUCUUCUCCCAUGUCCGUCUUUUUCUCUGUAUCUUGUUUUAAAGUAGAACAGUUUGGAAAAAAAAUAAAGCAACAAAGACCCAUUUAAGAGCAGGUGCCACUUCUGUACUUGACACCAUAACAGGCCUGGGAGCAGAAGUGUGUGCUGAGAUACACUUUAUUGACAGAUGCAAUUUAAAAGGAAACAUAUGUACACCUUUACAACUUGCUCCUUCUGGGUCCUCACUAGCAUCAUUUGGGGCAUCACAGAAUGAAUGUGAAAGGGCCAGACUGACCA